GCCCAGCUGAGGCCUGUCUGCAGAAUCGACACCAACCAGCAUCAUGUCCAUGACACUGGGGUACUGGGACAUCCGCGGGCUGGCCCACGCCAUCCGCCUGCUCCUGGAAUACACAGACUCAAGCUACGAGGAAAAGAAGUACACGAUGGGGGACGCUCCUGACUAUGACAGAAGCCAGUGGCUGAAUGAAAAAUUCAAGCUGGGCCUGGACUUUCCCAAUGGGAUGCUGGGGAGCCUGGUGGCCCAACUGAGCUUCCCCGGUUUCCCAUCUAUCCAGCUGCCCUACUUGAUUGAUGGGGCUCACAAGAUCACCCAGAGCAACGCCAUCCUGCGCUACAUUGCCCGCAAGCACAACCUGUGUGGGGAGACAGAAGAGGAGAAGAUUCGUGUGGACAUUUUGGAGAAUCAGGCUAUGGACGUCUCCAAUCAGCUGGCCAGAGUCUGCUACAGCCCUGACUUUGAGAAACUGAAGCCAGAAUACUUGGAGGAACUUCCUACAAUGAUGCAGCACUUCUCACAGUUCCUGGGGAAGAGGCCAUGGUUUGUUGGAGACAAGAUCACCUUUGUAGAUUUCCUCGCCUAUGAUGUCCUUGACCUCCACCGUAUAUUUGAGCCCAAGUGCUUGGACGCCUUUCCAAAUCUGAAGGACUUCAUCUCCCGCUUUGAGGGCUUGGAGAAGAUCUCUGCCUACAUGAAGUCCAGCCGCUUCCUCCCAAAACCUCUGUACACAAGGGUGGCUGUCUGGGGCAACAAGUAAUGCCUUGAAGGCCAGGAGGUGGGAGUGAGGAGCCCAUACUCAGCCUGCUGCCCAGACUGUGCAGCGCAGCUGGACUCUGCAUCCCAGCACC
rnacentral:sRNA from 1 species